AUACGGAGGGAGCAAGCGUUAUUCGGAAUCACUGGGCGUAAAGGACGCGCAGGCGGGUUUGUAAGUCAGGUGUGAAGUCCUACAGCUCAACUGUAGAACUGCACUUGAAACUACAGACCUAGAGUAUGGAAGGGGCAGAUGGAAUUAGUGGUGUAGGGGUAAAAUCCGUAGAUAUCACUAGGAAUACCGAAAGCGAAGGCGAUCUGCUGGGACAUUACUGACGCUGAGGCGUGAAAGCGUGGGGAGCAAACAGGAUUAGAAACCCUAGUAGUCC
rnacentral:rRNA from 1 species